rnacentral:rRNA from 1 species
AGAGUUUGAUCCUGGCUCAGGACGAACGCUGGCGGCGUGCUUAAUACAUGCAAGUCGAGCGACGAAAGGAGAAGGGGUAACCCUUCUCCCUGAAAGCGGCGAACGGGUGAGUAACACGUGGGUAACGUGCCCUGGACUCUGGGAUAACAACGGGAAACCGUUGCUAAUACCGGAUGACCCCUGCGUACCGCAUGGCAUGCAGGGCAAAGUUUUUCGGUCCAGGAUCGGCCCGCGGUGUAUCAGCUUGUUGGUGGGGUAACGGCCUACCAAGGCUUUGACGCAUAGCUGGCGUGAGAGCGCGACCAGCCACACUGGGACUGAGACACGGCCCAGACUCCUACGGGAGGCAGCAGUAGGGAAUCUUGCGCAAUGGGCGAAAGCCUGACGCAGCGACGCCGCGUGAGGGAUGACGGCCUUCGGGUUGUAAACCUCUUUCAGCAGGGACGAAGCCUUCGGGUGACGGUACCUGCAGAAGAAGGUCCGGCCAACUACGUGCCAGCAGCCGCGGUAAUACGUAGGGACCAAGCGUUGUCCGGAUUUAUUGGGCGUAAAGAGCUCGUAGGCGGCCAUUCGCGUCGGAUGUGAAAGCUCGGGGCUCAACCCUGAGAGGCCAUUCGAUACGGGAUAGCUAGAGGCAGGUAGGGGAAAGUGGAAUUCCUGGUGUAGCGGUGAAAUGCGCAGAUAUCAGGAGGAGCACCGGUGGCGAAGGCGGCUUUCUGGGCCUUGCCUGACGCUGAGGAGCGAAAGCUGGGGGAGCGAACAGGAUUAGAUACCCUAGUAGUCC